rnacentral:lncRNA from 1 species
UAAAAGAGCUUAACAUGCGAUUUCACAAGGAAAAAUGUAAUUAGCGUGCAGCCAACUGUAAAUGUUGUCAGUUAAUCCAAUGGAAGAAAGAAACAUCAGGCACCCACUUACAGAUAAAAGAAGACGACUUCAAUUUCACCAACUUAUGAGAGAAUGGUUGCACUUUUCUUUGUUUUUGUGUGAAGUGUCUCAACAAAUUGCUGCUUGAUGUGACCUGAAGGUUUGUCUGAAUUGCACAAGGCAAACAUUCACUUCAUCACGAAAAUGAAGCAUUAGAUGUUUCACAACUUCCUAGUUCUCCAGAUUGUGAAUGUUGCAUGUGCAUGCAUGCAAGUCAGCUUUCUUCACAGCACCAAGAAUAUGGAAAUGGACAAUACUGCAAGCAAUCGCACAGUAUUCAAGACGUCCUGAGCAGCAGUCAUUUGAGCAGUACUUAUCGAAGUUCAAGUCCAAUGCUUCAUUUAUAUGCAACCAUCACAGUGACCUGAUUCCAACGAUGGGCCACUGUCUCUCAGAAAAUAGUUUUUCAUUCUUUGUGGCUUUGACGACCGCUUGACUUGCAAGAAUACCGAACCGUGGAAAGCUCUUAUUCUUCGAAAUAUCGAGACUUCAAAAUUCUGAAAAGAAUUCUUAGUUUUUGUGUCCAGAGGGUUGAGGACUGAUUUUAUAACCUUUGCUGUGAACUGCAAUUCUCAUUCUUAAUCAGCUUAAUUUCUGUAAUAUAUUUUCUCAUCUUCAAAUCUGAUUUCCUGGGGAGUUAUAUUGCUACUUCAACAAUUUCACUUCUUCUAUUAAACCGUGGCUCUAGUCGCUUGCAGCAUGACAGUAGUACAUUGGGUGCUUACCCAUUCACAAGGUGUUCGAUUGUGUAUAAUCCUCUUUAGUUCCAAGUUUCUGAAUACUAACACAAGAGUGAGUUCAACCAGUAGAUUUGGACAGUUUAAGUACAAGUUGGCAGAGCCGCAGAAGUUAAGUGGAUGGCAUGAGGGUGAGGAUUGAGUGACGUAUAUCUUAUUGAUGGACGUCAUUGUGGUCCCGCAUAAGAGUUCAACUUCAUGGCAACCCCGGGUGUGAACCCACUGUAAAAACAUGUUUGAAUCGACCCGUUUUGACAGCCCAAAAGAAAGGUGAGCAUCAGAGCGAUGAUCGUAGCCCACAUUGGAGUGAACACACGUCUAAUUGAGGGUCCAGUCGAUGUAAGGUGUCCCCCUAAGCACCAGGCAGAUCAUCCACUGGUUGAACAGCUUCGGAUCAUCCACAGUUCCAAACUCUGCAUGUUUCGAAGAGAAUGUACGCACACUUUCUUUUAAGCACUAAACGUCGUGAUUCGCCUCUUCUUAGAAGUCAAAUAAAUCUGUAGGAAGCACAAGUUCAAUGAGGCGGUGGAGCCUGGCAACGAAGCCAUCGUUGACCUUCUCACGAGUAUGAAAAUAAGUGACGUUGUGAAACAUUUUAAUAAGUUCACCUGAAAUAAAAUAGAAUUUCCUCAAUGAAACAUUGACGAAGUCUGUGUAGACUAAUUUGAUCCAUUAGAGCUGAUCGGCGUUACCAUCAACUUAAUAAUUGAAGAUCCAUCACCAUUCACGAGAACUACAUGUAGCACUAUAUGUAGUCUGGACGUGGCUGACAGAGGUAUGAACUUCUUUCCUGCAACUGCAAUAACAAGGCUUGAAUUUCAUUGGAAUGAAUGUAUCAAAAUUCAACUGCUUAAACAAUAUGCUUAAUAAGAAAUUGGAGGUCCGUAAGAGUGAGGUUAUUCUGGCAACUUUCACUGCCACAAUAGAUGGAAGUAGCCCAGGAAAUGCAGGCAUUAGCUAUAUUCUGCUUACUCUUUCUGAUGCCUCUCCAGCUGCUAACAGACCUGCAUUUACAGGAAGGGUUUUCCAAAACGGAAUUCUAAAAGUCAACCUUAUUCAAGUGUGGAGUCUCUCUACGAAUGAACUACAUUCAUUCAAGGAGAAUUUGAACACCUCACUCCAGCAUGUGGAGACGUGAUCUAGUGUCCAGAAACGGUUCAAAUACUUACUGCAGCAAUGCCAUUCGAAAUAAAGAAGGAAAUGAAAAUCUAUAUAGUUAGGCGUCCGUGUCCCAUAUGAGGAUAUAUGCAGGUAAGAAGUUCUUGAAUCAUACAGAGUGCAGUGGGGUAUGUACAAUAUACUUCGAGUUUCCUUCUGAUGGAAGAUUUGAGGAACGCGAUUCAUGACAAAUUCUCCGCUCCACAACAGGAAGUGAACGCUGCUAAAGGAAUUUGCAGGCAACAUUCUUAAUGUGAUUAAUCAUUACCUAAACAUCAAAAGCUCACUUGUUCGCGAACUUAUUAGUGAAAUCCGCAACGAUGCUAUUACUUGAGAAAAUUUGAGACAGGUCACCAAAUGAUUGCUACUCACUGUUCGCGAAAAUGCCUGCUACUCACUGUUCGCGAAAUCUUGCCAAUGAUUGUCUUCUGCCUUGCACAGGACUAGCAACACGCGAAAUAAUACAAUAAUCAAUCGUGGAGCAAACUGCAAUCUUGACAUGUCGAACUAAGGUUUCCCAGUUACAACCGACACCAUGCACGUGCUAAUUCAAACAACACGACUUGUGUUUCCCUAAAAGUGACUGCUGAGUACCAGAAUCUGACUCACGUUUAUUCCUGGGUUCAAGCAGUAAAGCACAAAACAGAAAUAUCUACGGUCGGAGCUCUACUGAAGCAUCUUUCAGACAUCAAAUAGAGUCGAAAAAGGGACCUAACCUUCCGUUUGUAAUAAUCUUCGAAGGAAGACUUUUAGGCCCAAGACCAAGUUGCACCAAGUCUUCUACAACUAAUGAGGAAUCCUCAAUUAUACUUCAUAUAACAAGUUAUCAGAAUAUGAAACAUCCGAGUUUAAAGGUGGUCAAAUUAUCCCUCUCAAAUGGAGAACCAGUUCCACUGAUAUAUUACAUCUGACAAUUGCCAUUCAUUGUACAUGCUUAAUACCUCUGGAAAUCUCACCUAGGUGCAAAAAAAAGAUGCCACUACGCUAUGGUUGAUUAAUGUACCAGAAUCUUUUUGACUCCACACCCUCUAGCCCAAACUUUUUCCCAAGCACUGCAGUUCGUGACAUGGAAGGUCCCUAAAGAUCAGCACUAUAUUUCCUCGGUCGGUACUUCAUAUCUCCAAUCCUUCAGUUGCCUCCAGUGAGAUAAGCCACUGUAGUAUUCGCAAAAAUAUUGAAACGGAAUCUCGCCUACACGAUUGACUAAACCUUCGAAAUCAUACUACCGCUCGUACCUCUAGAAGAUGUGGACGAAGAUGAAGAAGGAAGAUUUGGUGUACGAGGAUUUCUUUGCUCUUCAAUCGGCUUUUCGAUUGGCUUUUUUGCCUUCUUGAUCUCCUCAACCUUGCCUUUCGAGAAACAAUCCUGUAAUAUACCCUUAAGUUCUGCAAAAUGCUUCUUUUUCACAAGCUGGUCCUCAACACUGCAAUCUUCAUCAGGCUCAACAUAGUCGUCAUCGAGCACAUAUUUGUCUAUGACUGCCGAAUAGCAUGGAAAGUAUUUGCGUGCAACUUCAGCUGCAUACAUUACACGCAACAUCGUAAGCAAACAAGGAUACUUCCACAUAUGAGGAUUACAAAAGAACUAGGUAUAAUCAUUAAAUGCGAAGUGAUCAUCAGUCUCUGGAAGACUUGAUCACUUAAAUCCUGGCAUCACCUCUGAUAAUUUUAGCUAGAUACAAAGACAUGUUUGGAAAGAGAACACAUUGCGUAGAGAAAAAAUACUACGUAGAUCCAACUUAAGCAAAAUGUGCUAUGAGACUCCUAUUACUUAGGUUGAUUAAGCACUACACCGUGCAAAUGUUAUCUCCAUUUCAAUAUUUUCAACUCUUACUACUAUUCCAACACCAAAGUAGUAAUCUAUCGUCCAUUCAAUACUACAUCUUAGCGAAUAUCAUAUCCCUUAGGCAAAAAGGGAAUGAUAAUUUCAUAGAAGAUAAGUUAGACUUAUAACAGCCUCUGAAGGAAUGAAACUCUAAACAAUGUGAGGAACAGUACUCACCAGCCUUCUGCAGAGUUUUACACCUCCGAAUCAAUGAUUCCAACCGAUUUUCUUUAGAUUGAUCCGCAACAGUUACACCUACUAAACCUGCCAACCUCUUCGUUGGCUCUUCGUUGAGUUCUACUGACGAUUUCCUCUUCCUACUUGUUAUUUCUGAUCCAGAAGAAUUCCUAAGAAUCUCAGUGGACGUAGCAUACGAAUCGAGAUGUGAGAUACCCAUUACAAUAUCUGCUUCCCGAGGAUACAGCAAUCGCGCCAAUGCCACUGCAAACAUAAAGUAAAAGAUUAGGUGCCCAACGUGGUACACAGUGUAUGAGACCUUGCUAUACAUGUUUCUGUUUGUUACUCCAGCAUUUUCCUGAUCGCUGACGAAGAGACAACGUUUCAAAAGCGUCGAGGCAGAAACACUGACCUCGAUUCUCAAGAUAAAGCAGCUUCGACAUAAGAUCUUUCUCAGUGCACGGUUGCUCUAGCAUAGCGGCAGCAGCGUUAGGAACUGCCACAGAGCGUUCUGCCUGCUGCAGAAUGCUUACGCAGAGGCUGUCUUUAAAAUUCUCCUCCCCAACCAAAUUGAAUUUCCUAGUCAACCUCUUCGAGAUGUCGAGAGCUGUUUGAUUAUCCAACGUUAAAGCCUGCAACUGUGCACCCUUCUCGACAAGUUUUGCAAUUGCCAGCGGGUCCCUCCGCCAAGCAGCUACAUGAAGAACUGUCAUACCCCUCUCAUUUCGAACGUUUACAUCUGCAGAAAGCAUAAGUUGUUAAUUUACUUUAACAUAAAUGUCCUACAUACCGACAUGUUUAUCAUUGUCGUGCAUAAUAUACCACAAAAUGAGUGCAUGAAACAGUUGCUUUCUGAAUCCUCAACUUAACCCCCCCAAAAUUGCAAGCGCAAGGAAUUCUCUGUAGGCAUCAUUAAAUAGCAGCCAAUUUUCACGUCAAUUAUAAAACACAUUUUACCUGCAAUAUCCAGCUCCAGCAAGUGAGCCAAAGUUCUAGGAUGACAGUAAGCAGCAGCAUAAUGAAGUCCGCAAGCUUCAUUUAAAUCUAACUUCCCCUCAUCUAGCAACAGCUGUACCAAUUCUAUAUCAUCCGAAUCUAAAGCCCUGUUCAAAAAAGAUUCUCUCUCAAUACAAACUCUUCAGACGUGCAAUAAAAGCUUAAGAUAAACGAAUACAAAUACACAUACUAUCAUUUCACUGUGUUUUGAAGAGGACUUCACAAAUGGUGGCAACUGCGGGUCCUACGACACAGAGGGGCCAACGUGAAGGCUCCGAACGUCAAACGAGCUAGGCAACUGAUUACAAUAAAGCUUGAUAAUUGUGAAGUGACCAGAUCGUUGCCUGUGUAUCCGUUUACGUUGCUUUUCUUGUGACGCCGACAGGUGAAGCAUGCCGGGUCUUAACUCCUUUGGAAACCUUCUCACUUGCUGCAGGGCUGCUCCAGAAAACUCCUUCUCCGCUGUUAGAUUAUCCAGUGAAGAAGAUGCUAAUGCGGUUAAGUACAUUGAUUUCAACUCAGAACACUCGGAAAUAGCUGUUGAUCGAUAAACGUGUAGCAUAUCAUCCACUUGAAAAUUUUCUAGAUGGUCAAUAAGAUGUUGCUGCAAAAUGUUAACGUAUCAUUAAUAUUCAGAUACCCUUACAAGGUUGAGACAAAGAAAGCUGGUAUUCCAAGUUCUGCCAAUAUGUCUCGGAAUUUAUCAGAAUUUAUAAUCGGGCUAACAGGAGGCAUAUGCCACAUAACAAUGAAUGGAUAAUAUACUGCCUAUCUCUUCGAGUGAAAGGAACCCUUAAGCUACAAUUUUUUUGCAGUAAUCUUGUAUUUAAAAGAUAACAUACCUCAGCAACGGUUGUCACUUCUGGUAGGUUGAGUAAUAGCGAAAGCUGGAGAACCUCCAAAACGUGGUCAAUAAUUGGUCGACAUGUUAUGUGGACGCAAGUGGAAUCAUAACACGCAAUGCCAGUCAGCCAGAGCUCCAUCUUCCCACUGUAAACGUAACUCAUGACAGCCAUAAAAGCAUCGUAGCCUAUUUUCCCAUCCUCAACAAUAGUACUGAACUCUAAUUCUAGUUUACGGUUUCCCCCAGUUACCCCCAUUUCGGAAAAAACUUUUCGUAUACCCGGACACCUAGCUGCCAAUAUGCACCUGUGAAUUGGCACUUGCUUUCCAUCUAGGAUAAUUGUGAGGUCACUGUACUCCUGAUCAGGUAUGCGUAUGAGAGUUUCAAGAUCAGAACCAAGCUUCUGGAGGGAAAGAGGUGUAAGCCCACUACUGCUUUCGCCACUUCCAUCUGAGUGCAACAAAACUUGCUGCAAAAUACUACGAUCCGACAUGGCCACUGCGAUUCAAAAAUCCCAAUUGGGUGCUUACAUCAAUUACCUCCUGGUCAAUUUCGCACCUUCCUAUGGUUCAAAUCUGAUGUCGCUUAGUCAACCCAGUGUGACCCCAGAAACUAAUAUCCGUAACAUAAAAUCUUACAACAUGGAGGAAAACAAUCUAAAUAAAAAGAUGCAGAAAAACGACAUGAUGCUUCAAUACUUCCUUCUGUACUUUUGCCACACCUUCUAAUUAAAUGCCACUCUUCAGAACUUUCCAACUCUCUACACUGACAACCUUCAAAUUUGGGCACCGUCCUCAACUCAGGAGGGACAAAGAGAUUGGGAAUCACUAAACGAACCCUUGGGCACCGUCCUCAAGUUGCCACACAUCUCCGGAAAAUCUGAGCAAAAAACACAUAGUACACAAACGACACCCCACUCCCCAACUCUAGGCCCAGCAAAAAUUAGAUAUCGGGUCCCAUACGAGAUUCUCCCUGAACCCGAAAACAUAAAAUACUAACAAGUAAAUGAAUCUUCAAACUCCGACCCCGCGAAAGCUACAACUUCCGCAUGCGCCUGUUCAUGUUGCAAAUGACUCGCAGGGGAGCACAGAAACCUGGACAAGAUAGCCAAGGACGAUAGAACAUUCUGACUCAGCUUCCGCCGACCGAGACACCAAAUUUCCCAGUUACUAAAAGGAAAGUAUACCAUGUAAACCACGAACCUAAGAUCCCUCAAGUCGAUACGCAACCGAAUUCGAAUCUGGCGAUACUCCACGAAAGACGGUCUGCGGCAAAAGCAAUCCCGUCAAAAUCCCACGUGUAGAGAGAUGACAUGGCCGCAGCCAAGCAGCGGAGCCAGGAGUGAGAAACAGAAUUUUGGUUUUAAUAAAGCGAAACCCCGAAUACCCAGACCACUUGUUUCACCACUUGCAAUUAUAACCCCUGCCCAACCCCCAUCUGCUUCGUCACCUUUAUCCUCCACAAUAACAGCAACAGAAAACAAAAACAAAACAAACGAACAAACUUCAGAACUGGUUUCCUAACGCCGCCCUUCUUCUUCUGCUUCUUCUUCUCCACUUUCACACCGUUCGGUACUGUUUCGUUAAAAUUAUGUAAAUUAUAUGCACAUCAUGCACACAAUCGCAAUCCCCCCCCCCCCCCCAAGAAAAUGUAUCCAACAAACUCAUUUUCAGUACACAUCACUUGACUAUGACUGCAGAAAGCCUGAACGAAGCGACCUUCGCCAGUUCGUUCAGACAAUAUUAGUGGCCCGUGACGCUCAAUUUCCACGAAGCUAUCCAUCUCUGGGGACCAUUGCCAGCAGGGGCUGACUAAAUGGGUGAGGUGGCAUCAUCCACUGAGGUUGACAGUCCCCACCGAAAGGAUCCACGCAACUUGCCACUUCAUCAACAAUGGGUCUCAAUCUCAGAGCACUGACGGUCCAGUUGGCACACCAAUAGUCCACGUGUGUAAAUCUGACGUGGCAAUGCAUGUGCUCGAGUCGUGCAUUCGGUGCGCUCGGCGGUUAGUGGGAAAAAGGAUUUGGGAGCGUUUCGAUGGGAGUGGGGUCGAGAUGGGAACUUAGAGAACUUGGGGAACCGUGGGUUGUGCACACAAAAGGAGCGCUGGGGAGCAAAUGCCGUGAAGCUUCUGGUCACGUCACUUUGAACGUAAUGUGGCGCAACGUUUCAUGGCCGGAAGGCGACGUCUCAUCCUCUGCAUGCCUCCAGGAAUUCACACGUUGAUGAAUGUACCUUUCUUCAUCCUCUGUUCACUAUCUAGUUAUUCAUUUACUAUCUGACGUGACUUCAUCCAUUUGUGGUAGGACACACCAUACACUCUUUUUUCAAAAAAUUAGGGUUUUGUCUCCCUUCGACUGACUUGAGUGAAAGGUCUAAAAAUACAAAUACAUUCACUUAUUGAGUAUAUUUUUGUAUGAACAAGUGAAUUUUCCAUUUCAUUGUAAACUCUUCCAUGAGUUGAGAAUAGAAUAUGCAAUUCCACUUUUCUACUAUGAACAAGUAUUCUAGAAUUAGAAAAAACUCCAAACGACUAUCAAACUUGUUUGUAAUAUAAAGUAUGUUUGUAUGAGUAACAACCCCAUUCAGUUAAACUAAUUGCACAUAACUAAAUUGAAGAGAGAUUGUUCCAGCUAUUUCUACAAUUUAUUUACAUAUAGAAAAAUGUUAAAAUAACCUACAUGUUUAUUAAAUCGGCCCACCCUAUCGUGGCAAACAAGGGGGGUUGGGAUGAGAGUUGAGAAUAGAGGAAAGGGAACAAGGUGGGAGGGCAGGAGGGGGAUUAAGAUGAAGAAGGUUGGAAAUGAAGAGAGCGAGGUGGAGAUGAGGGCUAUGAUUAUAAUGAUGGUUUCAGGAGAUGAUCCAUUUUUCUAAUAAUGGUUACAAUAUGGUGGAUUGAUUUAAUAAAUAGGUCAGUCAUUUUAGUAUAUAUAUAUAUAUAUAUAUAUAUAUAUAUAUAUAAUUUCUUCUUAAUGUUGUUGAUAAUUAUUAAAGCAUCUUAUAUUGGCACACGUGCAAUUUAAUCAAAGUAGGUUGGAUAUUUGUUAGGUACUUUCAAAAAGAAAAACAAUACAACUUUUGUUUAGGUGAUUCAUUUUUGUUUUGCAACCUUCACAAUCUUUUAUGAUUAGUAAUAUAUAUAAGAUUAUGUAUUUGUAGUCUUUAAGAUUUUAAAUUUAUUUUUUUAAAUAUAUUAUUUAACAAAAUAGUACAUUUGUCUAUAUAAAAUUAUUGUCUAUAUAAAAUUAUAUUGUUUGCAAAGUUGUUUUUUUUAAUUUGGCAAAAAUACACAUAUAUACAAAUUAUAAUACAUACAUUAUAAGUGUUGAUUUAUUUUAUAUAUAAAUAAAAUAUAAAUUUUUUAUUAACAAAUAAACAUAUUCCAAACAUAUAAAGUAUAAAUGAAGGAAUAGGUAAUUUUAAAGAUAAAUAGUUAAUGACAAAUCUAAAAGCAUUAUAGAUAUACUAGCAAAAACUCAUGCCAUUAGGCACUACAAUCUUGAACACAUCCAUCUAUUCUAUUAUUUAUCUAUGCUUAUUUGUUCUCACACUCCAUAGUUAUUAUAUUUUCUAGUUUCAAUGUUCCUCAAUUCUCAUGUUUCCUAAUUUCCAUGUUCUCUUGUUCCUUUGUUCCCAUGUUUUUCUCCAUGUUCUUCAAGUUUUCUAAGUUUCCUUCUUUAUAGCCAAUUUAGAAGGCUUUUGUGUCUCUUUAUAUUAUACCAAAGUUGUCUUAUAUAUUUAUUUUAAUAUUUACAUUUAAAAUAGCAUAUGUUUGUUUGUAUGUAUGCAUCUAAUUUGCAUUAUAUUUCUUCAUGCUUUUAUCCUUUUAUGAAUUAAUCUAAAACUAUUAGCCAAGUAUUUUUAAUAAAUAAAAAAUUAAAUAGUAACUUAGUAUUUGACAUUAAUAACAAGUGCUACACUUUGACACAUAUGACAUUUUUUUUUUUUCGUUUUACAAAUAUACAUAUAUACAUAUAUAUAAUUUAUAAAAAAAAUUGAAUCUUAUACUAAUUUGGUGGUUGCUUAGAUCAUAGGUACAACAAAACUAAGAUUAUAAUAAUUAAUUUAGAUAAUUUGAAAGAAUAUAUAUAUAUAUAUAUAAUUAAUUACAUUUAUUAUAUAUAUUUAUUGAUUUUUUUGAAGAAAAUUUUAAGUUAAGAAUAAAAAUAAGAUAAAUCACAGUUUUUUAAACUUGUGGUUAGUUGAAACCAAGAUGCUUCCUUUACCUGGCCUUCCACCUAGUAAAAUUAUCCAAAAAAACUAGAAAAAUUAAAUAUUGGAUAGAAUGCAUUUCUUCUUGCAUAACAUGAAUAAUAUUGUUGCUCAAAAAUUGUGUUAGGCCCACCUCAAAAGAUAGCUAUUACAAAACUCUCUAAAAUAUGUAUUAAAAUUUCAAAAUUGAAUAUUUUUUUUCUAUUUGUCACAAUCAUCACAAUCUAUACAUGUUUUCUAUAUUUAACAUUGAAACAAAAUAUAUAUAUAUAUAUAUAUAUAUAUAUAUAUAUCCUCUCCCUUUAGUAAGCAAAGUUUUCAAAAGACCUUUUCUCCACUAAGCAAGAAAACUUUUGAACCAUAAAUUGUAAGAUAAGUUUCCAGUUUAGUAUCCGCAAAAGAGCAAAACAUAGAAUUAGUUGACCAUACUUUUCUGUUUAUGAAACAGUCUACAAAAGCCCACUCUCCUCUGACAUUCUCCUUCCAGAAUGGGCCUGGUGUCGGUGGCCCAAGCUUGACUUGCACGCCAUGCUGUCAGUGUCGGAGGCACUGUGCACUGCGUGUAUUGCAUCCAGGUCCGACUGUUUGAUCUCGUGGAAAAUGCUUCGGCAAAUCUGGAGGGGGGAGAUGCCGAAUUUGAGCCGCUAUAGCAGCAUGUGCUCACUCUAUCUCCUCUCAUCUCCAGUACUUGUUGGUAUCGAAUAAGUGAAAGUGCUGCUUCAUCCUCUUAAUUGCUUCGCAUUCUCACCCCGACAUCAGUUUGCUGCUAGCAUCAUCGUCGUUGCAGGGACGGUGGUGGAUUCCUGAAUGUCGCAGAUGGUGAUGACUUUAAUAAGGUCCUGUUUGUCGAUCGAUCAGUUUCUUCUGCCUAUUUAACAUGCGCCACUUCCCUAAUGCUCCACUUUUCUAAUGGAUUGGAAAAUGCAUUGGCGCAAUUAUCGCAAUCGUGCCAGAAAAGUGCUGUUCCUCCGCAAUUCUCGAUGUUCCGUCGGGAAAGGAUGGCCAAUCUUCCGCUCAAAGUUUAAGAUCCUUGUGAUGCGAUUUCGCAGAUUAAGUACGCAGUUCGCACUCUGAUCUUUUUUUCUUCAUCCGUUCGUCAUCCAUGCAUGUUUACAGAGGUGCAGAAUUGAAUAUUUAGAGUUUGUUAAAUGAGCAAUUAGAUAGGGUUAAGGGUUUAGAAUUUAUUAAAAUGUUUUGAUGCGACAAUUGCCCCAUUUGCUAUAAAUCUCGGUCCGGAUUGAAAUCUGAGUUCUCCUCGUCGGCACAGGUUCGAUCGUGCGGUUCAAUCAAAUUUAGCUUUCUUAAUGCUUUUUGGUGUUGGUUUGGUGCUGUGUGCUCUCCGCUGUUGACAAUCUCUUUGCUUUUUGUUCACUCAUGAGCAACUAGGAGGAGUCAAUUUCUACGCUGUAACGACAUGAAUACUUUCUGGUGGAUGGGGUAUCUGAAAGGCCAGAUCAAUUCAUUUGAGCAUUUUGCCACACACCUCUGCUUCGUCUCGUUCUUGAGGUCAGCGUUAGCUCAUACAGAUGAUACAACCCUACAUAACUGAUUUCCUUCUCCAUCAUUAACAACGAAGAUAUACCAUAUUUGAAAUGUCUCAAGGAUGCAAAAUCGCGAUGGUAUUCUGCGUUCUGAUUGCGAUUUCGAUUUUCUCUUGCCGUGGAAAACAAGGACUUGGCUACUCAACCCACAUUUAAGGCAUUACAUGAGUACACGUGGAUGUUGUACAGAGAUUGUAGUCAUUGAUUUUACGAACAUUUGUCGAUCAUUCUCUUGCAAUGUUGCAACAGCUAAUCUCACAACUUUUGUUACAUUGCCUGACGAAGUUAACCUGGCCUUCUGACUGAAUAUUUUCUGCUUUGUUAGCAUGUGCAAAUCCAGGUACAUUCAUCAUGAAACGUUUUGUGAUAAUGAUUUCGUUAUUCCUUGCCGUUGCAUGAGCGGUCAAUUUUGUCAUAAACCAGCAUUUGCAUCUCACAAUAACCAAGAAGGAGCUCGUCGUCCGACUGAAUUAGUUCCGGCAAAAUGCUUUACAAUUUUACAUGGAUCAUCAUUCACCUGUCCGUCACCCUAGCGAAUAACCCCCGAAUCCACCAACCGUCUGAAGCCUACUGAUCACGAGGAGGACCCUUCUUAGCUGCUUCCACAGCAGCCUUCUCAGCUUCUAUACCAGCCACAAUCUCCUCAACUUCUGCCUCAUCCAGCAAUCGCAAACCUUCGUUCUUGGUCAUUACUGCUAUUUCAAUGUUUUUACCACCACUCUCAACUACCUACGAAACCACACAACAGCAUAUAACUUCAGUUUCAAAAUGACAAACCGUCCCCUUACAACCAUUAUUUACUAAUGUGUCCUCUGCCCCUGAGUAUGCAGUAGUCACGUAGCCUCUGAAACCCAGAAAGGAAUCUAUUUAGACAGACUACCCCGCACUAAACUACAAGUAACGAGAAUUUGCAAUUAUACAUUAUUAGACUUUUUCACUUAAAAAAACCUUCAAAAUCAAUCCCCAAAACUUAACACGUAAGGGUACUCAAAAAAUGAAGGUCCAGACUCCCUCAUAUCAAACUGCAUGCACAGUUUCUACCAAUACGAAAGAGAGAAAUAAAAUAUAAUACAGCCGUUGAUUUACCUCAAGAAGUGCUCGGACAGCUAGUUUGACAGUCUCAGCGCCUGAUGUCUCAGUGUAAUUCUUUUCCAGGAAUUCACGUACCGAGUUCGAGUUACGGCCAGUAGCAUUGGCUUUCCAAGCUGAAAAGGUUCCAGAAGGGUCGGUUUGGUAGAGGGCAGGUACGCCUGUGUAAGGGUCGAAGCCGACGAUGAGAGUGGAAAUACCGAAGGGGCGAACUCCACCACUCUGAGUGUACUUUUGCUGCAAGCCGGCGAUGAAGCGAGUGAUAUACUCGACAGUCACAGGAUCUUCUACUGUAAGUCGAUGGCUUUGGCACUCAAUUCGAGCACGGUUGACGAGAACACGAGCAUCGGCGGUGAGACCGGCGAAGGCGAGUGAUACGUGCUCGUCUAACUUCAAAAUCUUCCGCACGGUGCUGCAAAGGGAUAAUCCUCUUUGUGAGUCAGAUUGCUCUAUCAAAACAUCGUAUAUAAUUAUUUGGUUAAUGUGGCAACACCCGCAAGAAAUUGCUGGAUGACGAUCUUACGGGAACUUCUUCGGUACUCUCUAACUCAAUCCCUCUAUACAAUAAAAUCAGUGGAGAACUUCCGCGCUACAAGUUUCGGCAACAAAAACCUUACCAUCGUCGAUAGAGAAUUACCACUCUCUCCUUAAUCCACGCAACCACAACCCACAGAUUCAAAUAACCAAGAUGCAAAAUCCAACAUAUCUACAACCCUCCUCCAAUUUUGAGCAUCGAGGAAUUCAAAAUUAAGACCUAAAUGUGUCUACCUAGAUCUCCUAAAUCGCCCGAUUCAUCCAUAAGCAUCAACAAAUGCACCAUGAUGCAAGAAAAGCCUUACCGAGCAUCUUGCAACUUAGCAGUAGAUUUCUUCUCCACUCCCAACACGAUGGUGUCUGUACCUCGCACACCGACUGCUGCGUUUCCCUUUCUGACGGCUUCCAAAGCAUACUCCACUUGAAAGAGAUGCCCAUCCGGCGAGAACACGGUGAUGGCUCUAUCGUAUCGGGCCAUUUCUACCGGCUCCUACCAACAGUCCACACAAUGAACGCUAGUUUAAGACGCACCGAUCUUAUCAUUCAACCUCAAUUCGACCCAACCAUCUCUCUAGCUCCUGCAACAAGCAAACUCCAGACGUGAAACCCUAAAACGCAUUUCUACACCAAAUUACCCCUAAAAUCCAUUACAUUAACAACACAACGAAGACAUCAGGAAACGCACCUAGAGCAGAGGGAACAAAAAAAAAACAAAAACAAAAACAAAGGGCCAAAAGUUCGAUUUUGAUAGAAACCCAAUUGAAUCCUGUUUGCGAUUCAACCUAAACAAUCGCAAGUAAAGACGAAAACCGAGAUUGAAUCAGGCUUCGGAUUUUUCUUAAAGGAUUGUCCUGUGGACACCGACCUUGCCCAAGCAUUUAGAAUUUGCUGGAGUGGGUGUUCACAGGUGACCUUCAUCACACCAUGAGUCUCCAUCGUGCAUCUGCUUCUGUUUCAUUGCUGGUAAUAUAACUUUGUUUUUGAGUUUACUGUGUAUACAUUGUUAGGAGGAUAAGAUGCUUCUCUGGGUGUUGGAUUAGAGUCAUCGAAGUGGUGGAAUAGGUCUGCAAAAGCUGAGAUAAUGGCUUUAGGCUUGAUUUGAUUACACCACAAAAUUCUUGGAAAUGUGGAUAUGUAUGUGUGGAACAAGGUGAUGGUAUUGGAUUAGUAUUAUAUAUGAAUUAGUGAAAGUUGGUGUUUGGAUAUUAUGAAUUGUUUUAACACUAUGUGCCUAAAAUGUAGGAGACUUCUACAAUAACUUCCGAUGAAAGAGGUUAUUAAGAAUAGGUUUUUGUGUUUACAUGGCACAACUAAAAAAUACUUAUAAAUUUAUGUUUAAAAAUCUUCUUUAAUAAUUCUUGAAGACAAUAUCAUCUAACAAAAAUAUUUUUACAUAUUUUUACUUUUAUAUAUAUAUAUAUAUAUAUAUAUUUAUAUAUUGUGAUUAUUUGAAUAAUCUAGAUAUUCAUAACAUAAUAUUCUUUGGUAGAGAUAAGUUCUAGAAAGAGUGAUUAGACUCUAAGUCAUUUCAUAAGUUGAUAAAAAUUAAAAUUUGUCAAAUAAUAUUUGUAACAAACUUUGAUGGUGCUUGAUUGGUGUAACAAAUAACCAUAUUUACUAGUAUAUUUACUUAGAUAAGUAUAAUUAGAUAGAAGUAAGUAAAAGUAGAUUAAACUAUUGAUAUCUUAUUAAGAAGCUUCUUAUAAGCUUUGUAAACUUUACACAUAUUUAUAAGUGAUUGGAAGGUUGACAACUUGGCCAAAAAGUUGGCUACAUAUUUAGCCACUUGUAUUACAUAUUAGCUAUGUGACGUACAUGUUGGAAAUUUGCGUUACAAAUUGGAUAUAUGUCUCAUAAGUUUAAUACAUGUCAUGUAGCCCAUAGGACAUUAUCAUGGAGUUCUUUAAUAGAUAAUAUAUGUAGAGGCAAAAUGAGGCCCUCCUCACUUUUAUCAACGUCUUUCUUGUGUUCUAUCUUAGUUUUAAACUUUCUAGUAUUAUCAGCAUAAUCCACACCAAUAAUUAUUUAGAUAAGAGGAAUUAUGUAGAAAUAAGUAAACGUAGAUAAAUUAUAUAAUAUCUUUUGGAGAAGCUUCAUAGACAUGGAUAUAACUUUUUAUGUCUUUAGGUGAUUGUUGGAUUGAAAACUUUGCCAAUAAGUUAGCCAUGUGGUGCAUAUAUAGAAAAUUUAUCUUGCAAGUUAGACACAUGUUAAAGGUCCUAAAAAACAUUGCUACAUAUCUCCUUAUUAAAGAAUAUACAUAGAGGCAAGAGUGAAGCCUUCUUCACUCCUGUCAAUUCUUUUCUUGCUUUUAGUCUAGUUUCAAGAGUCUCUAGUUUUUUAGUCUUUGAGAAUAGUCAAUCUAAUUUCUUUUUAAAUAUACAUAUUUUCUUAUUUAUUUUUUUUUAACUCUAUUUGAGACUUUAUCUUACUUAUUUAUUUACAAUCUUUGAGCUUUUGUCCUUGACACCUAAUUUUUUUUGUAUUUAGUAAUAGUCAUUCUAAUUUCAAUUCUAUAUCUAUCUUUUAAUUGUCUGAUUUUUCUAAAUUAGUAAUAUAAGAGUGUAUUGUCAUUUUAAAAACUUUAUUGUAAUUGAUAUUUUUAUAAAUAGUUAUUUUAAACUUUUGAUAGUGUUUAAUAUAAAAAAAAUAAAAAAUAAAAAAAUUAUAAUAUAAAAUUUAUCAAGGCAAUCAAAACUAUUCUUAAAUAAUUUUUUUGAAAUGCCAUCAUGUAUAAUAUCCACCUCUAAUGAUAUUAUCAAACUUUAAGACUUCUUUUAAAAGUUAUAGUAAUAAAAGUAUUUUAUCUUAACAUCUAUUUAAUAAAGAACAUGUCUUUCUUGAUUUCCUUCUUUUAAUAUGAUAGAAGAGAAACUAAAUAAUACAUCUCUUAAGUCUUAUUAUUUUUAUAUGUGAUAUAUAACACUAAAUAAAAUUUUUGACAAAUUCAUGAUUUAAUAAGUUUGGCAACAAUUUAAUACAUAUAAACAUGAAAAAAUUAAUAUUUCAAUAAUUUAUAUAAUCUUUGAUUAAAUUAGAAGCAUCUUCUAAAUAAUAAAACUAUUUUAAAAAGAAAUAUAUGAUUACAAAAUAUAUUAUUGUUGAAAUUUAAAUUAAAAAAUAUAUAUAUUUAUUUUUAUUUUAUCAAUAAAAAGAUGAAAUAAAAUAAAUAAAUAUAGUUAUAAAAUAAAAUAAAAUAAAAUUUUAAAAUCAAAACCUUAAUACAAAGAAAGCAUGGACAAGAUUAAAUAUAGCUUCUCUUGCUUCUAUAUAUAUUAGCUACCAAUAAAGUCUUUUGGAAGCUUCUUAAGGAUAAUUAAGUUUACAUCCUAAGUAUCAAGUUGUAAGUUGCUUCUAAGGCAAUUGCUUAAAAGUACAAAAUAUAUAGCAUAAGUUCUAAAAAUCCAUUGGGAUAUCUAAAGAAAUAUAAAAAUCUAAUAUGCAUUAUAGAAGAUAAUAUCUACUUAGUAUAUUUCUACCUACUUCUAUUUAUUUUUCUUUACUUAAGUAAUAUAAAAAUUUUUUAUAAAAAUAUUAUAGGUUUAAUAUAGAUAAAUAAUCAUUAUUUUAAUUGAAGAUGAAUAAGCUAUUAGAAUAAUGUUUAAUUUUUUUUAAUCUCAUAUUUUUCGUUUUUAAUUCUAAAUCCAUCCAAAAAUUUUAAAGACACUUAUUUUUUUAACUUCUCAUCAUUCAAAUUAUAUGCAUCACAUAAUUAAUUGAUACAAGAAUGCAAAGCAAAUCAGUCCAAAUUAGAUUGUGUCUUCUAGACAAACACCAAUAAGUAAAAUUUUUAUAAGAUGGAAUUCUAAUAAACAUCAACUUAUUUCUAUGGUAUUAUACUUUAUUUUUAUUAUAAUUUACACAUGCAAAAUUAUAUACGUUCAAAUUUAAUUUACAGUUUUUAAUCAAAUUGUGGAUGAGAAUCUAGCCAAAAUAACUUCCAUAUAGAAAAAGAAAUUAGAUUAGUAAAAAUAUAUACCAUAUCUUUCACUGUUUUAGAGAGAUUCAAAACAAGUGUUUUUUUCAUAAUUACUUCUUACAUUGAUGUCUCAAUAUAAAAAUGGUUUCAAUUCUGUAUGAAAAUUAAAAAAAAAAAAAAAAAAAAAAAAAGCUAUGAGAUGAUGUGAUAUAUGUUGAAUAAAAAAAAAUUCACGAAUCAAUACAUAAAAUACUACAAUUUCCUUCACAAUUAAUCAAAAUUCUAAACUAAUUGCACUUUUUAUUACAUUCUAAUUACAAUUAAAAAUUUCUUUUCCCUUAUCAAAAUUACCAGUAAAAAUAAUUCAGCAUCCUGAAUGACCUUCCUUUCUAAUUUAUUUAUAUAAAAUUUGAGUCUUGGUUUUAACGUUAUAAAAUUUGAGGCAAAGAAGGAGGGUAAUGGGGGGUGACACGAAGGAGGUAAGGGGAAUGGGGAACAGGUAGGGAACAGAUAGGGAACAUGGACGAGACGUCACGAGUCGGGGAGGGGCACGGGUCAUAUGUAAGCUCGGCCAGGUCCGGCCCGGCCCGGCCCGGCCCUGUCUGGCCCCGGCUGUGGGUCGUCUUCGUCUUCGGCGUGGCAUUGCAAUUGCAGCAAAUCGAUCAGCCAUGGCGGAUGCCGCCGCCUCCUCCUCCUCCCCUGCGUUGCUGGUGACCCUCGUCACCGUCUUCCUGGGUUUACUCACCUUCGUGCUUCUCGCUCUUCGCAGCCGUGCUUCAAAGCCGGAGUCGUCGCCCGCUCACGCUACUUCUCCGACUGAUUUCGCUACCCAACCUGCGAAGAAAUCGACGAACCCCAAGCAGCGUUCUCUGGCCGCGAAGAAGGUAUGUGUGUAUUCAAUGUCGUUUGUGUUCUUCUAGAAGGGCUUCGGGUUUUUGAUUCGACUACAUCACCUUCCUGUUAGUAUUGGAUCACCUCAUGCGGCAUAUGGAUGUGUUCAAGUGUGACAUGCAAUCCUUUGCCUCCAGGUCUACAGAUGAUCUGGUGUAGGGGAAUUGGGAAUUUAGUUCUCCUGGAUUGUGUCUGGACUGUGACGCGUACCUUGUCUGUUUUUUGCAGGCGCAUCCGCAACGGCAUCAUCACCUUGAGAUCAAUAUGUUGAAAGGCCAUACCGACGCUGUCACUGGCAUUGCCUUCUCUUCAAAUGGUCGAGGCAUAGCUUCAGGUGUAAAUCUUCAAAUUUUUCGACUCGAUCUUCUGUUCUUCGCCUUUGUCAAACUCUGUCGGAAUCGAGUUGGGCUUAAGAACUGAGUGAUAACCAAUUCCCAAAUUGGGUUGUAGCUGCAUUACUUUUCCAAUUCAAAAUUUUCUUUUUUCUUUUUUCUUACGGUACUUAUCUCUCGCAGCGGGGAAUUGUUCUGGUACAUGCAAUGUAUGUUUUUGUUUAUUUGAGGUGCAUCUGGCGAAUGUGCAUUUGACUAAAUUUUGGAGUUGAAAUUGCAGCAUGUGCUGAUAGAGUCAUACGAGUUUUCAAACUGGAUGACAUCUCUGCCAAAAGUUUCAAGUAUGCCUCCAUCUAUUACUUUGUUAUUUCUACUCUAUUUCAAAAACUAUCGUACAUUUCUCUUCAGGGUUGUGCCUGCGCUGGUCAUAAGGAUUUUGAUUGAUCAUCUGCGUAUUUUACAGAUUUCUACGCUUAAAUCUUCCAAGUGGGAGUAAUUGCCCUACGAAAAUAACUUUUGGACACGGAUCAAGUCAACUGGUGAUCGCAACUGAAGGCAUGUCAGGUAGCUAAGUCUGAUGCACAUUGAUCACCCUCUACAAGCAUUUUGUAGGCAAAUAGGUUUCAGACCUUCGAUAUGUGUAUUUUCUGAUGAUUGCAAUCCUAUUUACACAACUGUCUUAGUUUUAGGUCGAACUCUUUCGUUUGAUGGCAAGCUCGUACAAAUUUUAGCAUCUUGAGUUUUUAGGAUAUGUCCUGGCACGGUUUAGCGUGAAAUGGAUAGGAGUGGGUCACUGAAACUUAAUUAAAAAAUAAAUCUUCAGCCAUUGUCUAUAUCACAUCAAGGUAGUUGUUGUGCUAAGAGAACGUGGCUGGGGGGUCUGUCAGGCACAGGGCUAUGUAUGUACUCUUCGGCUAGCAGCGAGGCAGCAACUGCUGCUAAGGAGCAAGGAAAACCCGCUCAACCGGAGAUGAAGUGGGAGCUGAAGAACGUUCAUGACAAAAAGGGCCUUGUUUCCCUUGUUAGCUCCCCCGCCACUUUUGGAAGUGGAAAUGGAGGAGUCAUAUUGGCCUCGUCCUCUGAAGGUGUAGUUUCUCACAGUCAAUCGGUCUUUCUCUCGGAGGUUUGUUGUGUAAGACCGGAGGUCUUUAGUUUGAACGAAUAAAUUCUUUAGCUUCUGGGCUACAUGCAUCAUGUUCGUCAUUUACUUUUGCAUUCUGCAUUUAUCUGCAAAGGCAACGUUAUAUUUCGUCGUCACUGGUUCACAGUGAUCUAGUUCAAAGGUACAAUCAAUUAUCAGUUAUUUACUAGUUCAUGUUUGCAGGUACGGAUAUCAAGUUAUGGACAGCAGACACGGGCAAGUGUCUAGGCACAGUGGACACCAACCAGCUGAAAAAUACCAUGGCUACUCUGUCACCUAAUGGACGUUUCUUGGCAGCGGCAGCCUUCACUGCAGACGUUAAGGUGUUGCAGCUUGCUUUACGUGUCAUGUGCAUACAUUCUGCUACUGUGUCAUGGAUAUUUUUUUAUUUCUGAGGUUGCAUUUUGAUUGCCCGUGAAUUUUCAUUUCUUUAAAGUAAUUUCUGGUGUUUUGGUAUGGUACAACUUUCUGAUUAUAUCACGUGCACUCAUGCUUGGUAUCUCACAAACAGUAGUGGUUUUGCUCCAGAUCUGGGAAGUUGUGUAUGGCAAGGAUAAUCAAGUGAAAGAAGUUCCGAAGGUUAUGCAACUUAAGGGUCACAAGGUCAGUCAAUCUCAAACUUGGCAUCUAUGCAUUCGAGAUCAUUUCAGAUCGCAGAAUUGUGUUCACUGUCGUUACUCAACCCCAUGACCGAGUAUUAUGAACCUUGUUUCAUACGAGGAUGCUGCAAUCUCUGGGUUUUCCAUAGUUCUUAAAAGAUCUCUUUGUUGUAUGAUGGUUCAAAGGUUUGAGAUUUUAGUGCAAUUCGUCGUGAAUUUGAAUUCUAUAUUUGAAAAGUCGAGAGUACGCGUUGAGUACGAAUGAUCAUGUUUUAGGCAUGAGUUAGAGGCAAAUGGCUCGGAUCAAUCUUCAAGCACACACAAGUGCAAAAGAGGUGGACGAAAGCGCAUACAUCCUAGUGCAUGUAAAGUUUAUGGUUGAUAAAGAAGAGGGUGUAGCAAAUGGCAUUUGAAACCGUUUCACUGUCAUGGUGGUUUGGAAGCUGUGAGCAUUAGAAGGGAUUUCUCACGAUAGUCAUGUUUGUGUGGACUGCGAGACAACGUGCUGUAUACAUGCUUACAGUUACCCACUUUGUCUUUAUUGUUGCGAAUCCACAGAGUGCAGUUACUUGGCUAGAUUUUACAUGGGAUUCGGAAAGAAUAAUUACUGCAUCGAAGGAUGGCUCGAUCAGGAUAUGGAAUAUCAAUGGUAAUCUUGAAUUAACCUUGAGUAUCAUUUCGUGCAGUUCACUGAAUGUUUGUGUAGAUUCUUUAAAUUAUAUUCUCUACUUGGUUGUGCCUUGAGUAAUUUUCUGCACCUUUGAAUAAGAAUGUAGCAGCUCUUCCAGUUUGACUUGUCCUCUAAUUCUCAUGUUAUUAUGUCAUGCUGGACAGUUAGAUACCACAUGGAUGAAGACCCCAAAUGUAUCAAAGUAUUCAAAAUUCCGACUCUAGAUUCAAAGGGCAACCCAGUACUUUAUGAUAGACUUGCUGUAUCACCUGACAACCAGAUUUUGGCUGUCACUUAUGGCACCACGCUGCAAUGGUUGCGCACUGAGACUGGCGAGAUUUUGGACACUGCUGAAAAUGCUCAUGAUGGUGCGUGUCCCUUCUCCUGUGGUGAUUUAUGGCAAGUCAGAAUCAAGUACUUGCAUAUUGUUCCUUUUAUUUCUGCAAAUUCCUAGAUGAGGACUCCAAAUCAUGAAGUGACUAUAUGAAUUUGACGUCCGACAUCAUGUCUCAGUUUCUAAAUUGUGUUUGUCAAUUGCUUGUUGUUUGUACAGAAAAUAUUACAUGCCUAGUGUGGGCUCCACAACCACUCCCCACAGGUAAUGCAUUCAUGUGAUUCCUAUUCAGAAGUCUAUAUUGUUGAUUAGAGCAUGUAUUAUCUGUAACGGUAUCCAAAUGUAUUGCUUUCCUUAAAUGUGUGCCCUUUUUUCUUGCUUCUGCCUGGGGUUAGGAAGGAGCAUUUUAAAUGUUUUUCAUGGUCACUCGCGGAACCUUCUUUUAAGUUCGUUAAAUCAUGCUCCAUUUCUGAUUAGUGUACCUUCAAUCCUGCAAUAGAAGCAGGAAAUAUUUCCCUUCACUAUGCAGGCGGGUGAUGAGUUAUCAGUUCAAUUAGGAUGUGGGAUAUAUGCUAGUUACCUCAAGUAUGUGUUGCAAGUCGAGCUUCAUUUACUCUAGUUCAUUGCUAUUGCCAUAAAUUUGUCUGAAUCCGUUUCUAGAUGGUAAGUUAGGUGCUAAUAUGUGGGAAGUGUUGUUUCCAGAAAGUGGGAAGUCCCUCAUCUUGGCAACAGCUAGCUCGGAUAAGAGAGUGAAAUUGUGGUGUCCUCCACCUCUAUGAAGUUAAAUCAGUUCAUUAACUCGAAGGUUUUGUUGCCCAGAAGACACACUGUUACUCCCCAUAAGGAGUGCACCCAGGUGAUCAGUGCAGUUUGCGUUCAGACACUUCAGACACGUGUACCUCCAGUAGCAAAAUUACAAACAGCGAUAUGCAUAUAUCCUGAGUUGUACAUGUGCGGACAUAGGAAUGUAGCAUUGAGGGGGAUUUUGGCUAGUUUUUAUAGCACUUGAACUUGCCUCAAGGUUGAGCUUUUGUUUCAUUCAUAUUCCUUGUCAUUUAUGCGAACAUAGAGUACCUUUACUCGAGUACCUCUCGUCAUGUGCUGUAUUGAAUGGUCCUGACAUUCUGUGUGUACAGAUGUCAGUCUAUUGGUUUCAUAUGACGUUUUGUUAUUUGGUAAAUAGUGUUCUGAAGUGUGGAUUAUGUCUACAUUGUUCCUGCUUGAUUGGAACCCUCCUAUUGCGUUAUCCUCCCAUUGUAUGAAGUGAAAGAAUGAAUUGUAGGAAACCCUGUCCUUACAACUACCUAGACUUAAUGACUGAAAGUAAGCAUAGUGGUUCUGGGUCACUGAGCUACUUGCGUUAAGGAGUUGUUUUACGAUUUCUCCCUGUGCAAUUUGUAGGCUUAGGCGUCCCUGCUUUUGAACUGUGGAUUAUAGCCGAGCCUCAUCCCCAAAUUUCCAAAUUUGACUUGUUAAGCAGUCGCGUCUAAACUCAUCAUUUUAAUCCUCAUAAUCUACAGGCGAAAUUGUCGAAAAUGAUCACGCAACACCAAAGAAUCUCAAUCACAGGAUGAUUCGGUUAGCCCUUCCAGAUGAUAGUAGCAUAAUUAUUGUGAAUGAGAGGACAGGAAGCACUGCAAAGUUGAGAAUCCGGGAGUGGAAUUCAGUUCAUCUAGUGUGGAAUGGAAAGAAGCGACGCGGUGAUGAUAUCACAAGGUAACUGGAUGAUGAGCAUCACGACAAAUACGAAAGAGUUGUGGGUCCAAACUUAAUCUCGGGAUAGUGCAUCACUUUCGACGUAAAUUGGCCAGGUUGGAUAGAAUCCUGCACAAGGGCCAUCUGCCUGCUCCCCUAGCAUCACUUCCGUUGUUGAUGUGAACAGCAAGCUAAGCAAUCUUUCCAGUAGUAGUUUGUGAGUAGGGAGACCACUGCAUUGUAGUGGGCUGAGGGAGAAGAGAGGCCAUGGAAUCGCAGACGGCAAUGCAACUAUCGUCUCUCCGCUCGUGGCCUGCGCUUCCACAGCAUCAGCCAGUGGUUUUACUCUCUUGCCGCCCUACGCCCUUCCACUUCUCCGAUCCUGGGUUGCGGUCCCGUCCCUCUUUCCGGCUCUCUGCGAGCUUGAACGAGGAGGACCGAUGGCUUCGAGAGGAACAGCGCUGGUUGCGCGAGGAACAACGCUGGCUGCGAGAGGAAGCGCGCUGGCUUGCAGAGCGGCGACUCAUGGCGGAUGAAUUAGACCUGCUGAAGCGUGAGUUGGAGCAGCUGCGUGCCCAAGUGCAGGAACGUCGGGAGUUUUCCACUGGUACUGCAACACUUCCCUCCGUCAUCGCCAAUUUGAAGCAGCUGAUUCAAUCAUUGCCCCCGGAACCAAGACCUAAUAUUGAAUUUAUGGAGGAAUUGGAGGAAUUGGAGGAAUUGGAGGAAUUUGAAUCACCUGUGUCUAUCUCGGAUCGUUCCAGCAGCAGCCUGAAGUAUGGCUCCACAGGGAAUACGUCUAGCAACUUCUCUUCCUCUCCUUCUAUACCUUCGAUGUCCGAGUUUUCAAUUGAUCUAAUAAGUGAAGUAGCACCCGCCAAAGUUGCAACGGCGCAGACUGAGGUAAUGCUGCGGGAGAUGAGGAAAGGUGCGGAAGGAGAUGAGGUAAAAGAAUUGCAAGAAGCUUUGCAAGAGCUAGGGUUUUAUUCAGGGGAAGAGGAUAUAGAAUACUCUAUGUUCGCAGACGGCACAGAAACGGCCGUGAAAACUUGGCAGGCGUCAAUUGGUGUUAGAGAGGACGGAGUCUUGUCUCCAGAACUGUUGGCCAUGCUGUUGAGUAAGACACAAACAAAUGCGAAAUCUUCGAAAGAAGUCCCCUCACGACAAUCAGUAUCAAAUUCACAGAAAGCCACUGGUGCUACCUCAACAGGAAGCAACACAGGAACGAAGAGAUCGUUUGCGGAGGAGAAAAGGGACAUUGAAAACACUCGGGACGAGAAUAUUGCCUCCAAUCGCAGGGUCUUUUUGCUGGGUGAGAACCGGUGGGAGGAACCGAGCAGCCUCAGGAAACCGAAGACAAAUGGAGCGUCGUCAGUAUCACCACGGGCAGGGCAGAAGGCUGUGCACACAGAGAAGUGCUUCUCCUGCAAGGGAGAAGGCGUAACCAUGUGCAGCGAAUGUGAGGGCACUGGAGAAUUGAAUGUGGAGGAUCAGUUUCUGGACUGGGUGGAGGAAGGUGCAAAAUGCCCUUACUGUGAAGGCACAGGCGCCAUUGAUUGCGAUGUUUGCGACGGAGCCGGAACUACCCGAGUCGCAUAAUUUUUGUAUAGCACAUCCUGAGCUGCUUGGUUGCGAUUCCACCUCUGUAUUUCAUUUCCAGUUCAGACACGUUCAGUUCAUGUACUCUCAACUGGGCAAUGCAGUCUACGUCCAUGGGGACUUUGAAAUAGGCAGCAGCUCCGUCCACAGUUUCCUCAACGUUGCAAAAUUCCUUACUGUAAAUGUAAUGGCGUCUCUAUUGCCUCGUCUUCGAUUCUUCUUACACCCUGUUGCACUUACAACGCCGAUUCUAUGUCUGACCAAGGUGAUGCUUUCUAGUAACAAUUUGCCUGAACGAGUAUGCAAUAGCCUAAAGCAUGUCACGUGUCUCGGCGCUGCUCACAGCAUGAUCAGAUACUUCAGCCGGUGCAACCAGCGUUUCUAGGUAUUUGCUACUGAAAUACGUUCCAAGUGGAUUCAUGAAUUGAGAGCCACAGCCAAACCAUCAAACACAGUGACAAAUGCAUGGAAAAGCUACCGUUGCCAUUGAGUUGGCAAAAGCCACUUAGCCAAAAGGCUGUACUCUUUGUCAAAACUCGAACAGUGCGGAAUGUUCUGAUCAAUAAGCUUCUAAGUUGCAACUUCGAAUGUUCGCAAACGUUCCACAAACGUUCCCGAGAAACAUGUGCAAACUCCACAAGGAAUGUUUCAACUCUAUGCUCAAUGUGUCUGGUUAAUCAGAGAGCGUUUGUAUGCAACUUCUGCUUGAGCCUCUUGCAGGGUAGAAGUGAGGCCGUGAAGAAGCUCAGAUUUUGACCCAUGAGUUACUUGAAUGACAGUAUAUGCCUUCCUUAACGUAUUAACUGCCUUAGCUGAGUCGCCUAGAAGCCUGCAUGUACCAUCAGGAUAUUUGUUCAGGCACGUGCAUUGCUUCAAAAUGCCGAAGACGUCAAACAAGACAACCCAAAAUCGAGUGCCUUACCAUUGGAGCUUUCCAAGAGUGAAAUACUGAAGUCCUAGAAGUGGAGAGAAUGGAGGAUACGCUCCUGUUUCACCCACAAAAGUCCAGAUUCAAAUCAGUUAACUAAAACAAGAUAGUCUGUGCAGAUGUUACAUAAUAAAUGCUUCUUGAAUUUGUCAAUAUUUAUGUAGAACAAGGAAACUUACGUUCAUAAGCUGGAAUGGUACUCUGGCAAAAUUCCAACGCUGAUGCCCAGUCUUCCAUAUCCAUGCAUAUCUGUUCAUGUUUAAUUUUUCAGAAACCGUAAGAGGAAAUCAGAGGGGUUGAACAUUCAAAAGCUUUAUUAAACAGCAUACGACCAACCUUUAAAAGGGCAUCAUGUGUUCGUAGCAAAGGAACAGAAUAUGGAUGCCACAACUUCCUCUGCUUAGCUUCCACCUCGCUAUACAGCCUCCGCGCACUCUCAAGCUCUUUCAAAUUAAGGCCUCAAAAAAUAUAUCAUCGUUUACUUUCAAAACAAAUUUAAGUAAAAAUUUAAUACGUUCUUUCAAUAUAAAAUUACAUUUUUUAUCUUUAAUUUUUUUCUAAAACAAAAAGGAUAAUGGACAAAAAAAUGUAUGAUCAUGAGGAAUUCUCCAAGUUUAUAGCUAGAAAUAACACGCACAAAUCAGUUGUUUCAAGCGUUGAGAAAGCAUUCGAUCAAUGAGGGAUACUGCCAGCUGCAUACAGAUUGGAUGCUUCCAAUACGUCCAAUUCGACUUCCUUGGCAGCAGACUUGGUCUGUUGCACUUCACGUUUUAAUCCGCAAACCUCACAAAUAACUUUAUCGCUCCCUGUAGCCACAAAUAUUCAGAUGAUAAGGCACUAAAGAAGAAAGGAUUAAAAGGCCAGAAAUUGCAUUGAACAUCUUGGAGAUUUUAGACACGAUUAACCUGGAUCUUCAAUCAACGGUCCAUUGCAAUCUGAAUUAACACAACCAUAUCCUUCAAGAAACGCAUCCUCCCUGGACCCUUCACGCGUUACCUAAAUUAUGAAUAACCACUAUAUUGUUACCACUUCAAAAGAGUGCUCAAUUCACUUGUAUCGGCAAAUAACAGCGUGCAAUUAAAAACACAAUUAAAACAAAACCUUACCCUCAUCGACAGGGAUGCGAUGUUAGAUCAAAUAAACGUGCAAGAACUAUCCAAUGUAGAAACUACAAUACAACAUAACAAAACUGGUGUACAUAUCACUGAUUGAUUACCACAAGUCCUGUGUUGAUAUCAGAUGUAAUAAAGUUCUCGCAAAGAUGGAGCAAAAGGAUCAUCUCGAUUCAUACCAAUCGACUACAGCGGAUGCAAUUACAAUCAAAAUAAUACUGGUCCCUGAGAGCCUUUCGUCGGGUAUUUGUACUGGCUGCUAAUUCCACAUAACUGAUGGUAAUCUGUCCAGCAGAAGUCGUUAUGAAUACCAUGAGUGUCACUGGAGCAGGCAAGUAGAAAAUAAUCCUUCAUUCUUUCAAUUAAAUCUAAGUCGUAAGUGCAGUUCAUGGUCUGGUUCUCUUAAAACACUCUGACGUGAUACAGGACUGGGCAAAAUUAGCAAGGAAAUCAAUGCCAAAAUCGUCACUCAAGACACUGCAAUUGCAAAGAAGAAAAUUUCAAUGUAUGUUGAUAUACGCAUGCAACAAAACCAUAAAACCUUACCUCAGUCCCUUCUUGAGUGUCUUCUAAUGCACGAAGCGCAGCACGAUUUCCAUCAAAAUGAAGUACCGCAUUCGGAACACAGCUGGACAGGAGACAAACAACUAUCCAACAAUCAAAACCAUUAUGCAGUUCCUCGUACAUCGAACCAACUUCUAGUGUAAUGUACUCUGCAUAACAAAUGACUAAAACCCCUAAACCUUAAACCCAAGCAUAUAUAUAUAUAGCAUGUGGUAGAUUUUCGGAGGCAAUCUUUACAACAAAGAAUAGCCUCACUAACCGAACCUGUGAUUGACAAUUGAUAUGACAGGAUAGAGCCCUGUACCCAAAGGCCUCACUUCCUCAUCGCAAAUUGUAUGAGCAUUGCAAGCGAACUGUGCCGCAUACCACAUGACAACUAAGUCAGAAGGAAAUUAAUUCUGAAUAUGGGCAAAUAAGUGCGUUUCAUUAAUACGACGCGGAUAACUUUUAAAUUUUCAAAAAAUGAAACCAGCAAUUGCUCUCUUAGGGAAAAGUAGAGCCGCUUACCCUACAAAUCAUUUGCGUAACCUCUUUCACAUUCACCUCGUCUGGAGCCAUCAUUUGUUGCACUAUGCUAGCCAUCUGCGCAUACAUCACUAAACGAUCUUCGCUUGUCUCGGACAUGUCUUCACGGUAAGUAAAGGUUUUACAUUUAAACUAUAAACCCUGAACCCAGAUUGUUGCUUACACGGAUGGAGAAAUGAUGCAAGCAUUGUUCCGAGGCACAGAAUGCAAUGCAAAAGGAUACGUGUGGGCAAAACCUCACAGACAUCAUAAUUAUCCACAGCUGCCUUCAACUGAACCUACUAAUGGAACAGAAAUGCACGGUCAGAUCGAGCGGAAACAUUGAACAGAAAAAAAUGGAUCGCGGGUCGAGAGUAGGCCAAGACAACAUUGACACGCUCACCCUCUCUGCUUGUAACCUUCGCUUGAUCAAAAACCGCAUCACUAAACGCAAACUCGGGGUAGGACUCCGCUUCUUUUCCUUCAGAAGCCUCACUAAUAUAGCGCAUUCGAAUUUGUGAAGACCCCAUCCGCUUCUCUAAGAAAACAGAAACGUCGCAGCCUUAAAGAAAUUGCAAGAAAUCGGAAUAGGAAACAUUAUUUAUAGAGGAAACAACAAGAAUACAGCAGGAUCACAGGCUAGAAGCAGAAGAAAUUAAAAAUUGACGGAAAGAAGGCGGGGCAAUAGAGCAGCACCUGGCAAUUGGCACAGCAAUAGAAGACAGUCUUGCACGCGCUGCAUCGCUUGAGAUUGGAGGACUGGCGAUAACAGCGAUCGCAACGGAGGGCUUGGCUCGAAUCAUCCAAGGCACAAACAUAGGGCUCUUGCUGAAGGAUCACCUCACCUGCCACAACCACAUUCAGAGAAUUGCACUUGAACUAAAAAUGACCAGAGCACCCGAAUUCGAAUGCGAGGGAAGCUCAAGGGAAAAAGGGAGCAAGAGUAGAAGCUGCUACCGCGAUGAAAGGCGCGGUUGGCGAUCAAGCAACGGCCCUUAGCGGGGGAGACCGAGACGGACAAGUUAUGGCUAUUCUGCAGAUACUCCGCAAGCUCUUGGUCCGCAACAGCCGCCAUGGGUGAGAAAUCGCCACGCAAAUCCAAUUGAUGCUUGAGAGACUACCAACGCAAAAACGAUGGUGAGGAAGAAGGAAAAAAAUUAAGCAACAAAAUUGAUGACAAGGGCGGCGAAAGCUCUUCAAGCUCCAUCAUCAAUCGACUUCACGCAUUUCCACUGAGCAUGCAAAUCCAUCCUGGAAACGAUGGAUGCGGCGACCGGGAGGCGGCCAUCGGGUACCGUAGGUCGGCCGUGACAACACUACGACGAAUAUGACCAAAACUAGGUCUACAUUGUUGAGACCAAGCCCUAAUUCUCGGAACUUGAACCAGUGAAAUGCGUUCUUGUGUUUUGGCACAUCCGGUUUGGUUCACAAUAUUUGGAAGUGUUGUGGGAUCUGAAUUUUGGCCAAUGGUUCCUUGUUCUUUGUUUGGAAGUUUCUACUCUUUCGGAAAAUUCAUUUUUCUACAAAACUUUAAUUAUUUGAUGUGAGAGUUGUUUAACAAAUAAAAGUGAGGAAUUAAUAAACUAAAACAAGAUGGAUAUGUCAAAUUAUAAGUAGGCUUGUAAAUCAACAUACAAAUGAAGUUUAAAAAGGACAUUUAAGAAAAAAAAAGUUAACAAAAAAAUGUAAAAAAUGUAACAAUAGUUGAGAAGCUACCAAACAUGUUUCUAUUUGUAUUUUGUUAGAAACAUAAAUAAAUACUAUUUACAAUUCUUUACAUAUAUACUAUUUGCAAAGUUGGAAGUUUAAAUAACUUAAAAAUUAAAUUUUAAUAUAACAUUAUAUAUAUAUAUAUAUAUAUAUAUAUAUGUAUAUUUUUUUUUCUUUUAAACAAAGUAUAAUUUUUUAGAAAAAAAUUAAUAAAAAGCUCUCUAAUAAUAAUUUUUAAUCAAACUAAUAAAAGUAUCUUUGUUGAAAAAACUCCUAAAUAAGUCUCAUUUCCUAAAAAAACUAUUUAAAGUCUAUUAGAAAUAUUUUAAAAGAAUUUUAAAGAUUAAAAAAUAUUUUGAAGAAAAAUGGAAUUUUCAUUUUUCAUAUAUAAUUAUUAAAUAUUUAAAAUACCAAUCUGCAAUAAUAUUUAAGACUUUGAACUUAAUAACAAUAUCAGCAACUUAGAUUUAUAGAUUUAGUUUAACUCAAUGUCCUUAUAAGUUCUUUUAAGCAUAUAUUCACUAUUUAAAGCCACCAAAAUUAAUUAAACCAAAAUAUAAUUAAACAUACUAAAACUUUAAUUUUACUAAGAAAGUUAUUUUUCUUUUUUGAACUAUUAAAUAUGAAAUAAAUAGUUCUAGGAAAAUAAAUUACAAUAGUUUAGAAAAUAAUAUGUUUUUUUAAUUGUCUAUGUAUAUGCUAAUGGCUAUGUAUGUCACUAAACUUGACUUUUGAAUUUCAAAAAAAAAACAUAAAAUGUUACAAACUAAUCAAUAAGAAUCUUAUUGCAAAAAUCCAAUUGGUUUUUAUGACAUAAAUAGUUAUAAAAUAUUAAUACCAUUGGUGACAACUAGUUAUUAUAAUUAGAUAAUCAAACCGUUAUUUUUGAACAGUUAUUAGCUUAUUAGGUUUUAAUUCUAAUUAGCGUGUUUUAGUCUCAUAAUCAAAUAACAUAUUAAAUGUUAUAACUUUAUUUAUUUUUUAGCUAAAUAAGGUUGUCAAUCGAUUUUUUUUUUUUUUCUAAUCCUCAAAAAAGCUUGGCAUGCAUUGAAGCCAUUGAUUUAAUGCAAAUAACAGUUUUAAAAUAAGUUAUGCCAAUCUACAAACAGAAUAAUUUAUAUAUAUAUGUAAAAAAGUGUGUAAUGACUAUAAAUUUAUAUUUUAUAUUUUUAUUUUUGCUUUAUUUCCCUUUUCUUUUUCUUUAAUAAUAAUAAUAAUAAUAAUAAUAAUAACUUCAAUUUUAGGUUUUGCUCAAAGUAGUAAUCAGUCUUAGUUUGAUUGAUAUUUAGAUGAAUUAAUGGUACCAUAGGUCAAAGCUCCACCCCAUUACUUUGCCUAUUCUAUUUGCAAGCUUCAAAAAUUAGUCUAAAAUCAAGUAAAAGUGACAAAGUUCAAAAUCAAGCAAGGGUAAGUUUUAUCCUAUUUCAAGAUAUGAUUUAGUCAAAAACUUUUUUUUUUUAAUUGGUCAUGGAUCUUAAUACAUAGGUCAUUGUUAUUCAAACACAGGUGAAAUUUCACCCUUGUAAUAAUCAAUUCUUUAUAGUUACAAUUUUAAAUGGGUUUGUGUUGUAAGUCCAAAAAUGCUUGGGAUGAAGCCCAAAAUUGUAUAGAGGCUCCACCCUUCACAAGACGCAAUCAAACCCUGGACCAUGAACAAUUAAACCCAAACUGUGCCAUGAGAGACGCCGAGUGCCGAUCCAGUGCGGCCGCGGCCGCUACGCCGGCAUUAGAGAGGCACCUCGAAUGGUCGCGUGAGGUAACGUUUCGACCCCACCAGGUCGCGGCCACAUAAUUCAUUCUCAUGAGGCCUCUCUGCACACAAAUUGCAGUGCUACCUCCGCGAGCUCAUUGCUGCUGCUAGAUCCCACUUAGAUGCGCACUUAGUCCUCUCCUUGAUUUCCAGCUUACACUGAGAUCGUUGCAUUCUUUCCCCAAUCAAGGUCUGUGUUGCUGUCGGUGGAUCUCGAUAGACGGAAUGAAGGAGACAUGGCCACCGCAGGAAUCCAUGCUGCAGGAUACGAUUCUCGUUCUGAAGCAACGGCAGGGAGCCAGCUUAGCGGAGAUCCGCAAGCGCCUGGAACUGGGCUCCGAUGGCAAGCUCAGCGAAGCUAAGAAUAAGAUGCUGACAUCUACACUGAAAGGUCUGGUGCAGAAGGGCCGAAUUCAGAAGAGCGGCGGUAAGUACAAGCUUGCGAGAGCUAGCUCUAAGAAAGCAGUUGAUAAGGCUGUGAGUCGCCGUAGCCGCAGUUUGGCUGUCGGCUCGGUAAAAUCGCAGCGACGAAGCCGUGGAGGUCAUCGCCAUAGGCGUCGUCGGGGUGGAAGCCGCCGAAGACGGCACAGCCGCAAGCGUCAUGGUAGACGCCAUCGUAAGUCGAGGCGCCGCAAAAGCCAUCAUUGACGAUGAGUUGCAUCGCUGUACGUGUGAACAACCAGCGGGUAAGAUUGAAAAGAGAGCAAAACAUGGAUCACAUGCUACACAAAUGAAACUCUUCGUGACCAGUCAAAAUGGACUCAAACUUGAGCUUUAGUGCACUAUGAUUAAAAGUUGAAGGUGGAAUCCGACCACAGAUGAUCUAAAGAGUACGUGAACACAAGCUGCCGCUGACUAUGAACAUUCAAUGUCAUAAAAUAAUAGGCUGGGACAUCAUUUAAUUCCUCAGUUGCAGGCAUCGAUACACUGCGACCUACGUUACAUAAUUCAUUUAGAACACUGCAGAACCCAACUUGUGUUUCAAAAUCACCAGCAUUCACUUCUGUACUUAGCCUCCUAAUUGAACAAUUGAACAUGUGUGGAUUAUACGCGACAAAAAAUUGAGAAGAUGCUAGAGUAUUUAUUCAAACAUCGUAUGAACUUUAGAUCUUUUUGUAAAUUUUCUGUGAACGAUAGUCAUUCAAGGUAGCUCCUCGGGAACAGAUACAAACCCUGCAUUUGAAACCGCAAGGUGCGUAACAGCCAGAAACAUACAAAUACUCCAUCGAGGUGUAACAUAAACCUGGGAACAUGUGUCUGAUUCACCGUUCACAGCGACCGAUAACAGAGGCUGAAAAUAAAUGUACAAUGCGAUGUAUCAACUACGCCACUCAAGCCAAGCCAAUAUGCUUUCAGGCCCAAUCGAAUGAUAUUGGGCCACAUGAUUGUGAAUCCGACGAUUCUAAGGUCUUAUUAAAAAAAUAAAUUAGCUAAUAAAAAAUUGUUAAAAAAAUCAUCUAAUAGGCUUCCAGAAAUCUCCAUGCACAG